GCACCUAUAGCUCAGUUGGUAGAGCGCAUGACUAGUACUUUAUCAUGAGGUCCUCGGUUCAAGUCCGAGUAGGUGCA